GGACAGAGUUCAACUUGAUGUAUGCCUACUCCCCUUUGAACGCUAUGCCUCGAGCAGAUGGACUGUAUCGAGGAUCUCCUCUAGUGGGGGAUAGGAAGUCUUUACAUUUGGAUGGGGGAUAUUGUUCCCCUGCAGAAGGAUUUUCCAGCAGAUAUGAACAUGGCUUAAUGAAAGACCUCUCUCGUGGAUCCUUGUCACCUGGUGGUGAAAGGGCCUGUGAAGGAGUCCCAUCUGCCCCCCAGAACCCACCACAGAGGAAAAAAGUAUCCCUGCUGGAGUACCGAAAACGGAAACAAGAAGCUAAGGAAAAUUCUGCUGGUGGGGGAGGUGACUCUGCACAGAGCAAAAGCAAGCCUGCAGGAGCUGGGCAAGGCAGCAGUAACUCCGUUUCUGACACUGGUGCCCAUGGUGUGCAGGGAUCCUCAGCCCGAACUCCAUCUUCCCCUCACAAAAAAUUCUCCCCAUCUCAUUCCUCUAUGUCCCAUUUGGAGGCGGUAAGCCCAUCAGAUUCCAGAGGCACUUCUUCAUCUCACUGCAGACCUCAAGAGAAUAUCAGCAGUAGGUGGAUGGUUCCCACAUCAGUAGAACGACUCCGAGAAGGAGGGAGCAUCCCCAAGGUCCUCCGAAGCAGCGUGAGGGUGGCCCAAAAGGGAGAGCCCUCUCCCACAUGGGAGAGUAACAUCACAGAGAAAGACUCAGGUGAGCCCAUGGCCUUCUACUGCCACCACAUUCAGGGACACGUGAGCCAAGUCCUGUACAGUUCAUGCCUAGUGCUGAGUUGAGGUGAGUCAGUUUCUGAUGCAGUUGGGCUCCGCCGUAUGCUAGGUUCCAGCCCACUUAUGCUCAUUUGGGCUACAACAUUUGUAAGAUCUAGCAUUGCUUGCUC
rnacentral:sRNA from 1 species